rnacentral:rRNA from 1 species
AGUGAACGCUGGCGGCAGGCCUAACACAUGCAAGUCGAACGGCAGCACAGUAAGAGCUUGCUCUUACGGGUGGCGAGUCGCGGACGGGUGAGGAAUACAUCCGAAUCUACUUUUUCGUGGGGGAUAACGUAGGGAAACUUACGCUAAUACCGCAUACGAUCUACGGGUGAAAGCAGGGGAUCUUCGGACCUUGCGCGAAUGAAUGAGCCGAUGUCGGAUUAGCUAGUUGGCGGGGUAAAGGCCCACCAAGGCGACGAUCCGUAGCUGGUCUGAGAGGAUGAUCAGCCACACUGGAACUGAGACACGGUCCAGACUCCUACGGGAGGCAGCAGUGGGGAAUAUUGGACAAUGGGCGCAAGCCUGAUCCAGCCAUACCGCGUGGGUGAAGAAGGCCUUCGGGUUGUAAAGCCCUUUUGUUGGGAAAGAAAAGCAGCAGGUUAAGACCCCGCUGUUCUGACGGUACCCAAAGAAUAAGCACCGGCUAACUUCGUG